CCUUUCAGCCAGGCCAUCCUCACAUCUCUCACAUGGGGGUCAAGCCAUAGCCUGAUGCUGGGCUUCAAUUAGAUGGUAAGGCUGGAGAGGGUGACUGCCGACUGCCUCCUAGUAACUCCUGGGACUUCUGGGUACAAACCUAGGGACCCUUAUAAAGAGUCCUGCUGUUUGCCAUGGGUCCAGAAACUAUGUCACUGGCCACAGAAUUCUAGGCAAAUCCACUGUUGGCCUGAACUGCCCUUGACACUGAGCUGGGCAAGCGCAAUCAAAGUGUCUGUAGUCAGAAGGAAUAGAGCAGAGUAAAUCAAGCCUCUGUUCCUCACUGGAGUCUGGUAGAUAGCCUCAUCCCCAGCCUUAGGAUUUUGAGCCUGGAAGCAAGAGGAAGGAGCUGGAGGAUGACCAGUUCGCUGGCUGGUUGCUGGUGAGGUCUCUACUCAUCAGCAGAAGGUAAGAAGCCGUUUUGUUUAUCAUAAAUUUCUCAGCCUGGGGACCAGGGGAGCCAGGUUCUUAUAACCUGUUGCUACCUUUUAAAAAGGCUUCCUCCUCCUCCAAAGAGAAAAGUAAUGCAUAAUCAUUAUAGAAAAUGUAGAAAAUAGAGAAAACUAUAAGGACAAAAAAAAUCCCAAACAUUCAGAACCCCACCACACGGACGCAAGUACUAUUUGCUGCCUUUCUUUCUAGUGUGUUUUCAGUAUGUCUUUUCAAAGCGGAGAUCAUCCUGCAAGCUCAUGAUCAGGAUUUAAAAUGGCUGCCACCUAUGCAGUCAGUCAUGCACACUGAAUAAUUGAGCUAUUUCCUCAGGAGAGAGUUCCAGAAGGGGAACUACUGUUCUUCGAGGCUGUGGACCCUGCUUGCUGAUGGUCAACACAAUGGCCCUACUGCUCAUGUCCCUGCCAGAGAAGUGCAAAGGACAGGUGCCUUGCAUCCCCACCUCCAGGGACUCCUCAGCACAGGCUGUGACUGUUCCUAUGGUGCUUCUCACCCUGAGACCUUGUAGCCUUAGCCAGGGAAAGAGUGGGUGAGCAGUGAGCUAGUUCCUGGGCCUCUGAAGGCAAGGGGACCCGGGUUACCCUUUGACCCUCUUCCCCCCUUUCCCAGAUCUUUAAUAUUUGUUGUGAUGUGAUAGCCACAAGAACUGUAAGAGAAACUAUGGGUUAUGGGCACUUUCUUGGGUUGAAAGCGGGGUGGGGGAAAACGCAUGCAGGGGUAUGAAAGCAGCCCAAGGAUUCCCAGAGACUCAGGAGAAAAUGGGUUGGAAAUAAAUGUGUUAUUGUUGCAUUACUGUGUUGUGAAGAUAAGAAAUCAUUCUAUAUGCUAAAGCUUUCUCCUCAAUAAAAAUAUAAAGGGUGUGUAAAGACA